GCUGCCGUCAAACUCAUCGUAGAAACUACAGACCUUCUGGUACCUUGCAUCUUACACCUGUCAAUGUUCAGCCUCAGCUAUCAGAUGCUACUCUACGGGACUGUCUCCAAACAACAGACUGGGGAGUUUUUCGGGAUGCCGCUGACAUCAAUGAUUACACUGAGGUUGUAAGUGAGAGAGCAACCCAGAACAAUCUAUUGGCUGUCUCGCUACAUCCAAAUGACUCUUUUGCUGACAAACGAAUAACCCACCCUGAUCCUUUGCCUGCUCCACAACAAUGCCCAAAUGUAUUACACAAGACUGCUUUACUUAACCCUGAGGUUGAAUCUUUUAGGCCAACCGAUGUUGACAAUGUAAUAUCUAAUGCUGCGGCUGGAUGUGCGUCUGUUGGUGCCGAUUGCUCCAAUGUUGUGAAUGUGUCUGAUUCGCUAUUUCAGUUUAAGGCUCGUAAAGGUCUGGGUGUUGUACACAUAAAUGCCAGGAGCGUGCUCCAAAAAAUUGACUUUUUAAAGAUUUGGAUUACCAACUCUGAUCCUGACGUGGCUGUCAUAUCGGAAUCUUGGUUAAAUCCUAAUAUCAAGGACUCAGAUAUUGCAAUUGUUGGUUAUAAUGUUUUUAGAACUGAUAGAGCUAAACGUGGGGGUGGUGUUGCCAUGUUUGUGAAAAACAACUUAAACUGUUCUGUACGCAUCUCCACUUCCCUCCCGGGCCAAUUUGAGCUGUUAGCCGUAAAUAUUAAUCUGGGUGACUAUCCUAUCGUCAUUGUGGGUGUUUACCGACCUCCCUCUGCUGUCCCAGAAGCAUUACAGAGUCUAUCUGAAAAAUGUUCUUCUGUGUCUAGCUGCGAAACUGUCAUAUUAGGCGAUUUUAACCUAGAUUGGUUCUCACCUGUAGCCAAUGAAUUUCAAGACCUGUGCUUAGAGUCAAAUCUUACCCAAUUGGUUACUGAAUCCACCCGCCCAAAUAUGAAAAUCCCAAGUAACUCAUCUCUGUUAGAUCUCAUUCUUACUAAUAGGCCACAGCACUACCUGCACACCUGUGUGUUUCCCUUGGAUUUUAGUGAUCACUGUCCAGUGGGCUGCAUCAGGGAUGGACGGAGAAAGGGUGCUGCCCCUUUAAUUGUUUAUAAAAGGUCCCUCAAGAAUCUUGACGAUCAGGCAUUUUUAUUUGACCUGCUAUCCAGCAAUCCUACCUCUAUAGAGCUUAUUCCGGACGUAGGUGUUGCCUUGAGUCAUUUCCUGUCGGUUUUUCAUGCUGUCACUGACAAACAUGCACCUUUUAAGAAAUGUAGGAUAAAAAAUCGUUUUAAUCCCUGGUUUACUCAUGAUAUAAGUGAGGCCACUACUAAUAGAAAUAAGGCCUGGGCAUUAGCAAGAUCCACUGGCUCUGCUGCAGCUUGGCAAUCUUUUAGACACCUUCGUAACAAAUGCACACAUCUGGUGAAAAUGGCCAAAUCCAAAUACUUUGUGAAUCAUUUGUCUGCUUGUGGUAGUAAUCCAACAAAAUUCUGGAAAACAGUUAAGUCUCUUAAAGGGGUUUCCACACCUACACUACCCCAGCAGAUCAUGCUGGAAGAUAAAGCAAUUAAUGAUCCUAAGGAAGUUUGUAAUGCUUUAAAUAAUCAUUUUAUCCAAUGCGGCACUUUGUUUGACCUUUCUAAUUUCCCUGAUGUACCGGAUGGAGUGCUAGAUAACUUCACUGUUGAUGCCAGGUCACUGGGAACUGACCCAACCACAUCCUUCUCUUUUAGACCAAUACAACAGCAUGAAGUCCUCUCUGCUCUUCGUAAUUCUAAAUGUAUGAAGAGCUCAGUGGGUGCAGACCAGUUAGACCCGCGUCUCUUGAAGCUUGCUGCCCCCAUUAUAGCCAGACCCUUGACCCACAUUUUUAAUCUAUCACUUUUUUCUGGCUACAUUCCUAGCAUCUGGAAAUCUGCAUUAGUGGUGCCCCUUCAUAAAGGUGGAGACCCAAAUGAUAUGAACAAUUAUAGGCCGAUCUCCAAGCUCCCAUGCCUAGCCAAAAUGUUGGAAUCCUUUGUAAAUGAGCAAAUUAGCUCUUUUCUAUCUUUAAACUCAAUUUUAUGCCCCUUUCAAUCAGGUUUCAGAGCUGGCCACAGUACCAUUACUGCAACAACCCUUGUGGUAAAUGACAUAGCCUCUGCUGUAGACAAGAAACAAUGUUGUGCCGCUUUAUUUAUUGACCUGUCGGAAGCUUUUGAUACAGUAAACCAUGAGA
ensembl:lncRNA